ensembl:lncRNA novel transcript
GCAUUUUCUCUCCCUCACACACAUACACACACUCCUACUCUCUCUUGUCUGCACAUGCAUGCUCCUGGCAAGCCUGUGGCUAUUAUACCUGCCCAGUUCUCUUUCUGGGCCCAGCCCCAGCCUGUGCAUCCUCAGGCCUGGCUCACCGGGCUGCCAUGCUGUCUUCACCUUUCCCUCAGAGCCUGGUCACACUGUCCUGCACUUCAAAUGAUGACUGUGUGAGAGACCCGAAGCCACUGCAAGUUUUCUUUCCUGAUGUGAAGAUGCUUCUGCAAUCGAUCAACCAGUCUGCAGCUUCUAAGAAUCACACAGAGGUGCUCAGCACUAUAUGAAAUGUGCAGAUACAAAGGAGUAACAGAGACAGCCCUUUCCAGAAGAGAUUGCUCUGGGGAGUUUGCCCAGUUUGCGACACCCUCUUAACUUCCCACCCUACAUUCAUUCACAAGAAGUGGGCUCCUGGCAGUCAUGCUCAUCAACCGCAUGGCAGAGGCAGUCAUGACCCUGCACCCUGGGCCUGGUCGACUGGACUACAGAUGUCCAUUUGACCCACAGAGAAUCAAUCAGAGCCUAUUCCCAGG